UGUUAAAUGCAAUUUUUAUUUUAUUUUAACCAUUCAAUUCCUAGUGCAUUUCAACUGCGAUUCAAUUUUCGUCAAAUGCACACAUGAUUAUUGAAUGUGUCUGUUAAAGAGCUGUGUUCAUUUACGCUAGCCAUUCAGUUUCACCGAUCAGUUUCAACCUUGGGAAGAGGGUGUGUCAGAAGAUGUUAGUUGCUUAACCCAUAUGCAUCUACAAGCGUACUAGUGCGCUGCUGUUUUUCUGGCCGAUAACACCAUAGGCGUACUGGUACGCAAAAUGGCUAAUCUGCCCGAAAAUCUUGAAACAAUCCCUUUAGAAUGAAAAUAACCCCUCAGAGUAGCUUGUAUUGUUAUAACAAAGGUAUAUUAUCGUGAAACUUAAACUAUUUUUAAAAUUUUAUUUAAAUAAUAAAAAUAUAAUGAAAAUAGAAAAUAGGUAACUCUAAUAAUAGUAACAUAUAAAAAAGUUUAUGGAUUCCAUGGUAUGUCUAACAUUAAAGUGAGUGGAUGCAAAUGGGUUAAAUGUAGCUUAUAUAAGGAGUGGGAAGAGGAAAAUGUUAUUAAAAAUUGUGAAAAUUACUUGUCCACUCCUUUGGCUCCCACCCGAGAGAGGAAAGGUCAAGUAGACAGGUAGCCUUCUUUUGUGUUGCCCUGCCGCAGGGCAGCUGGGUGGUGGGUGGCAGUGGCAAGUGCCAUAAAAAGAGGCACCUAUGGCCAGGUGUUGGGGCUCUGGCAACGGGCCUGGUGGGGGCACAUGUUUCUGCAUGGGCCACCAGUCAAGAAGUAGCGGGAGUGCCAUGGGGUCAUGCCGACCAACCCAUGCUCAGGUGUGGCUGUUUUCCCGGCAGGACAAUUUUGCGGAGUACUUCCAGUGGUAUCUAAGCGUUCGGGUCGUUGUAGCUAGGGUGGUGGAUUUGCAGGAGACUGUUUUCCUGGCAGACCAAUUUUUCGGGGUACUUCCAGUGGUACCCAAGUGUUAGGGUCGUGGUAGCCUAGGAUGGUAGAUUUGCAGUGGGCUGUUUUCCUGGCAGACCAAUUUUGCAGGGUAAACUACCCCCCUGCUGUGUCUACAAGGUACGAGGCAGGGUGCAAGGGUUGAACCCAGGUCAUGCAUCAGUGUUUCCUGUCCCUUCCGUCAAGGUUGGCAGGGCGCCGGCAAAGGGCCCAGGCGAGAAAAAAGUAACUGACAGUAGUGAGAGAGAUAGAGGUCAAUUCCCUUGCAAACAGGUAGGCAUUAAGUUAUGGACAGGGUUUUAUUGCAAUAGGGUUUAGAAGUACACCCUAAAGCAUCCAAACUUCCUUAGUUCUCGACCGCAGCAGUGUCAGGGUCUAGUGGCGAACGGGCGCAGGCAGCAAGAGCACUGCUCACAGCCCUAAGACAACCUCCAGGCACAGGCAAGGUCCCAUGUGCUAGUAGAGCAUGGCGGAGGGGGAACUGAUGUCAGUGCCCGUGAUUGUGGCGCGGACAAGCGACAAUCUGAAGCAAUAAAAUCAUAUACUGUUACAUGGAUUGCAAUAAAAUAAAGCUACCUUUUUCAAAAACAUUGCGUGAAUGGCAUGUGCAAAUAAUCAAGCAGGACAGAACAGAACAUGACAUUCAUUUCAAAGAGGGAAUACCUAUCAAAAUUAAGCUAUGUGUUAAUAGCACUUGAGAUAUUUAGGUACUGUACAUGAGACUAUUCAGUGUCUCUAAGCAAUUCCAAGGUGUCUAGUGACCGGGAAAGCCGGGAAUUGUACGGAAAUUAUAACUGCCAGGAAAAAUCCGGGAAUUGUAACAGGAAUUUUUCAUAAAUCCGGGGAUAAAAACAAAGUUUUAUUAAAACGUGUUAUGCUGCAUUUCAUUUCUGGAUCAUCAUCGCUGACCAACAAAUACCGUUAAAAACUAUCAAUAAGUUUUAAGUGGGACGCGAGUCUUCACAGGUCCAUGCGGCGCCCGGAGACAGCGCGAUAGACUUGGCAACACUGCUUGUGUGACUCACCCACGCGAGCGCACACACACACACCAGUUCACAAUCUCUCGUUCAGACGUCUGGCGCCGUCUAACAGCAUUCUGCCGCCGUUUUCCGCUAUCCAGUGUUUGUGUUUCGUUGCAAUGCGUGUAUGUGGAUUAUUAAGUAUUUACAGUAAAACGUAAGUACUGCUUUAAUUUUCCAAAGUGGAAUAUUUGCAUUCAGAGGUGGCGGAAUUUGUUGCUAAUAAUUAGAGACCUGAAAAAAUCGCGAUCGCGAUAAACUCGAAAAAUAACGCGAGUUGUAAUGUUUUGAAGUUAAAAGCGAUUUCAUAAUUUUUUCAGACUUUUUCACGAAUUUCUACGAAUUUUGCAUGAAUUUGUGCAUUUUCACGUCUUUCCCAUCUCAGAAUACAACACCAAAACCACCCGAUAUCGUCACGUACCAAGCUUAGCUGAAAAACUACACGUUGUGCAUCGAAACAGCGUUACGUAUGCCUAUUUUAACCGCUGCUGAUUUUCAUAACCUCCUUUAAAAUGUCCGGGAAGGUUGCUGUCUUUUGAUAAGUAAAUUCAAACAUAUUCUGUUUGAAUUUUUAUACUCUUAAGUUUUAAAUUUAAAAGGUAAACCAAUUACAAAACAGAAUCUCUGUAAAAUCUUAUUUAUACAUUUGGUUUCGGUUCAGUUUUUUUUAAUUAUAUGCAGUCAAAUAAAAUUGCAAAUAAAAGUAAAAUAACCUCGCUUUUUGUUGCAAAUUUUGCGAAAAAUAACACCGCUUUUAAGAAAAAAUAACCACUCUUUUUUCAGGUCUCUAUAUAAUAAUGUAUGCAUUGACAAAACACAUUUCUUUGCGUUGUUUGGCGUUCAGUUUCCUUGCAAAGGUCGUAUCCCUAUGCCUAAGCAAAAUUAAAUACUUUUCCAACAAAUAAGUUACCUUAUUUACCCGUGUAAACGCCCCAUUCUAAACUUAAAAUAUUUUAGAGAGAAAAUUUUUAAUGUUCUUUUGUUUACUCUGGAAGGCACAGUACUCCAUCAAACUGCGUGCGCACAUACAUUUCACUAGUCAGUAAUUUUGUGAACAUAAUUCUUUUAUUGAUAGCCUCAUUGAUAAACUUAAUAAAUUGAAAUAGUGAUAAUAGGCGGGAGAAAAUAGAUAUCACGUGCGUGCGCUUGUCCCGUUCCUGGGUAAACAUACUGUAUUUCUUUUGUACAAAUUGUAAACACAACUUUGCAAUUUUCGUGCCUUGUAGCUUCCAGAAAUUAUAUAAAAUUUACUAUCUUGCAAUAUUAUGUGGUUUGUUGAAACAUUUUUUUGUCCGUCACCCGAUGUCUGGGACAUCGAGGUCUGAGAUAUAUAGGGUUUACUGUAUACCUGACAAUACCUGCUACAGAUAUUAACAUUUUGGCCAAAAAGAAUAAAGAUUACACUACAUAUUUGUUAGAGACAUAGUAUGAAGCAUUCACACGAGUAAAUAUGGUAAUGAAAAAUUGAAGUUACCUAAUAGUAAUUUUAUAAUUUUUAGGGACUUGAAAUGGCUCGUCGGGUGAGAGGGAAAAUUUCGUUUCAAACGGAUUGGAAAGUAGAAUUCCCUUGGGUUGAAGACAUCAAGGAUGAUCGUCACUCUGCUAGGUGUGCAGUCUGUGGGACUACUUUUUCCAUUACUUCCAUGGGAAGAACAGCUCUUACAAGCCAUGCCAGUGGAAACAAGCAUAAGAAAAAUGUGAGUAGUGUAGAUAAGACAGCGCCAAUUCAAAUUUGGGCUACUACAUCUGCCCCUGAAACAUCUAAAGCAUCUGAACCUUCACCUUUACCAUCUUCAUCUGUAAUUCAACCUUCGUCAGCUGCUGUUAUUCCUGGUGCGAGUAUGAAUCUACCUGCUGAAGAUUCGUUAAUCCCGAAAUCUGCUUCUACAACCCGCUGUUUGGAUAAUUUUCUUCUUAAAGACGAUGUGACUCGUGCCGAAGCUUUGUGGUGUCUUGAAACGGUGAUGAAUCAUAACUCCUUACGCAGCGCUGCUAGUAGCGUAAACAUGUUCAAGCGAAUGUUUCCCAACGAUCGUGUUGCAAACAAUAUGAAACUUCAAAAAGAUAAAAUUUCAUAUGUCAUAGUUUAUGGACUUGCUCCUUAUUUUUAUGAUAAGUUGAAAAGUGUUUUGAAAGAGUGUGAACAUUUUGUGUUGGGUUUUGAUGAGAGUGUGAACAAAAUUGCACAGAAACAACAGAUGGACUUGUCUGUCAGAAUUUGGGACUCAAAUGUAAAUAAAGUUAUGUGUAGGUAUGUAACAUCCAUCUUUUUGAAUCACGCUACAGCUGAAGAUCUCUUACAAGCCAUGAAAACUGGCUUGGAAGGAUUUGACAUGAUGAAGAUUAUCCAAUUAUCAAUGGAUGGUCCUAACGUAAAUUUCAAAGUACUUAGGCUUUUACAGCAAGACAGCAGAUCUGACCCAGAAUCCCCACAGUUACUAGAUAUUGGUUCUUGUGGUUUACACACAGUGCACAAUGCCUUUAAGACAGGCAUCAAGAAAUCUGGUUGGGAGAUAAUUGAGUUUCUUAGAGCCCUUUACAAUUUGUUUAAAGAGGCUCCAAGUCGACGAGGAGACUAUACAGAGGCUUCAAACUCACACGUGUUUCCUUUGAGGGUUUGCUCAAUUCGUUGGAUUGAAAAUGGCAAAGUAGCGAGGAGAGCAAUGGAAAUAUUGCCACUUGUUGAAAAAUAUGUCAACAUAGUCAAAACCACAGCAAAGGAACCAUCUUGUAAUAGCUUUUCUGUUGUAUGUAAAGCCCUGCAAGACAAACUCCUGCAAGCGAAAAUAGCUUUCUUUGAGGCACUGGCAAGUGACGUUGAACCAUUUUUGGUAGAAUUCCAGUCUGAUUCUCCAAUGGCACCAUUUAUUUUCGAUAGUUUGACAUUUAUUGUAAUGACUGCUAUGAAAAGAAUUGUGAAAACCGAGAUUAUUGAGAAAACUCCUCUUCACAAAAUUGAUGUUUUCAAACAGAAUGCAGAUAAGACUUUUGUAAAUCUCAAGGAUGUGAAACAUGUUGAGCUUGGUUACAGUACCCGUGCAGCACUAAGGAAGUGUAAGAAUGCCUCUGAGAAAGAUAUUUUAAUUUUCAGAAAAGAGUGUCGGAAUGUCCUGCAAUUUUUUGUGAGUAACCUGUUGCUGAAGUCUCCUCUGAAGUAUUCUCUUACCAAGGCUCUUACUUUUUUGAACCCUUAUCAUAUUUCUUCCAAAGAUAGUUGUGUAAAACAACUUACUACUGCUCUUGACCACCUCCUUACGGCCAAUCUUCUGCCAGCUAGCACUGUUGAAAGGGCUGAUAGAGAGUACAGGUUUCUUUGCUCGCAAUCAAAUGUCAUUGAAGAAAUGAAAACCUACUCUAAGUCUGAAACUCGCUUGGAUACCUUCUGGGUGCAGCUUAUAGAAGGAAAGAAGGAAUAUGAGAACCUCUUUAAAGUAGUCAAACUACUUUUAAUUUUGUCUCACGGCAGUGCUAACAUCGAACGAGGAUUUUCAGUGAACAAAGAAAUUUUAGUCGAAAAUCUGAAAGAACCAUCACUCAUAGCCCAGCGUCGUAUUUUUGAUUUUGUUAGUAAUGAGCCGGGUGGACUGAUGAAGCUAGACAUUCCUAAAGCCAUGAUUCAUGCAGUGAGGAAUGCUUAUUCCAUGUACAGUGAGGCACUUGCAGAGCAGCAGUGUGCAAAUAAGAAAAUUUUCAAGCUAGCGGAAGAAAGAAAACGUGCAGCUACUGAGAUCAAACAGCUUGAGGCGAAGAAACUCAUGUUGCUUGAGGAUGUACAGCGUGCAGUAUCUGCCAUCGAUGAGAAGGUGAAAGAUCUUAAAAAAUAGUACAUAUAGGGCUGUGUAUUGCAUGACACUAUACAGUUAAACUUCUCACAGUUUUGUACUAGUGUGACUAUGGACCAAACAAGCUGCAAGACAAUUACUAUCGAACCAGGACAAAUGAAAAAUUCCAAUGUUUUAAUAAUGAAUUUGAAGUUCCAACAUUUCCAGUGAGAAGGUGAUGUCUUCGGUAUUGAUGAAGUAACUAUUUAUGAAGGAAAAUGGAGUGACAAAGGGUAUCUGGUUGCUGGGGAUGUCUUGGAU